rnacentral:rRNA from 1 species
AUGAAGGCCUUAGGGUCGUAAAGCUCUUUCGCCUGUGAUGAUAAUGACAGUAGCAGGUAAAGAAACCCCGGCUAACUCCGUGCCAGCAGCCGCGGUAAUACGGAGGGGGUUAGCGUUGUUCGGAAUUACUGGGCGUAAAGCGCACGUAGGCGGAUCAGAAAGUUGGGGGUGAAAUCCCGGGGCUCAACCCCGGAACUGCCUCCAAAACUUCUGGUCUGGAGUUCGAGAGAGGUGAGUGGAAUUCCGAGUGUAGAGGUGAAAUUCGUAGAUAUUCGGAGGAACACCAGUGGCGAAGGCGGCUCACUGGCUCGAUACUGACGCUGAGGUGCGAAAGUGUGGGGAGCAAACAGGAUUAGAUACCCUGGUAGUCCACACCGUAAACGAUGAAUGCCAGUCGUCGGCAAGCAUGCUUGUCGGUGACACACCUAACGGAUUAAGCAUUCCGCCUGGGGAGUACGGUCGCAAGAUUAAAACUCAAAG